rnacentral:rRNA from 1 species
AGCUCCAUUAGCGUAUAUUAACUUUGUUGCAGUUAAAAAGCUCGUAGUUGGAUUUGUGGCAUGCUACGGGUUCCGGGCACUUGUUGUCUGUGUAACUUGUGGCUGCCAUCCUUGGGUGGAACCUGUGUGGCAUUAGGUUGUCGUGCAGGGGAUGCCCAUCGUUUACUGUGAAAAAAUUAGAGUGUUCAAAGCAGGCUUAUGCCGUUGAAUAUAUUAGCAUGGAAUAAUGAGAUAGGACUUUUUCGCUAUUUUGUUGGUUUGCGCGGAGAGGUAAUGAUUAAUAGGGACAGUUGGGGGUAUUCGUAUUCAAUUGUCAGAGGUGAAAUUCUUGGAUUUCUUGAAGACGAACUACUGCGAAAGCAUUUACCAAGGAUGUUUUCAUUAAUCAAGAACGAAAGUA